UACAGAGGUCCCAAGCGUUGUUCGGAUUCACUGGGCGUAAAGGGUGCGUAGGUGGUGGGGUAAGUCGGAUGUGAAAUCUCCGAGCUCAACUCGGAAAUGGCAUUGGAAACUACCCUGCUAGAGGGUCGGAGGGGGGACUGGAAUGCUUGGUGUAGCAGUGAAAUGCGUAGAGAUGUGGAGGAACACCAGUGGCGAAGGCGGCAUCCUGGACCAACACUGACGCUGAGGAGCGAAAGCCAGGGGAGCAAACGGG
rnacentral:rRNA from 1 species